ACACUGACGCUCAUGUACGAAAGCGUGGGUAGCAAACAGGAUUAGAUACCCUGGUAGUCCACGCCCUAAACGAUGUCAACUGGUUGUUGGGGGAGUGAAAUCCCUUAGUAACGAAGCUAACGCGUGAAGUUGACCGCCUGGGGAGUACGGUCGCAAGAUUAAAACUCAAAGGAAUUGACGGGGACCCGCACAAGCGGUGGAUGAUGUGGAUUAAUUCGAUGCAACGCGAAAAACCUUACCUACCCUUGACAUGUCCGGAAUCCUGAAGAGAUUUGGGAGUGCUCGAAAGAGAACCGGAACACAGGUGCUGCAUGGCUGUCGUCAGCUCGUGUCGUGAGAUGUUGGGUUAAGUCCCGCAACGAGCGCAACCCUUAUCAUUAGUUGCUACGCAAGGGCACUCUAAUGAGACUGCCGGUGACAAACCGGAGGAAGGUGGGGAUGACGUCAAGUCCUCAUGGCCCUUAUGGGUAGGGCUUCACACGUCAUACAAUGGUCGGUACAGAGGGUUGCCAAGCCGCGAGGUGGAGCCAAUCCCAGAAAGCCGAUCGUAGUCCGGAUUGUUCUCUGCAACUCGAGAGCAUGAAGUCGGAGUCGCUAGUAAUCGCGGAUCAGCAUGUCGCGGUGAAUACGUUCCCGGGUCUUGUACACACCGCCCGUCACACCAUGGGAGUGGAAUCUGGCAGAAGUAGGUAGCCUAACCGCAAGGGGGGCGCUUACCACGCUGGGUUUCAUGACUGGGGUGAAGUCGUAACAAGGUAACCGUA
rnacentral:rRNA from 1 species